CGUUCAAAGCUGGGCUUCAUCCAGUUGCUUUAAUGGGGUAGCAAGAGAAUGCCUGCCUGCAAGCUACAGCAGUCGUGAUGCCAAAUCUGUUAAGGAAGCCUGCAUUUCAGAGAUGAGUCCAGAAUGGCUGUGUUCCUGAUCUGCUGAUGCUCAGAGCAACAAUCAAAUGACUGAUCCAUUUUACUACACAUCCAUAGCUAUUUUCAAACCGCCCAUCCCUGAAGUCUCUGUAUGCCAUGCUACAGUUGCAGCUGAAUUUUGUGAUGAGAGGGAAACUAAAUUAGACUUAAUCUCAAUUUUAAAAAAUUGAAAACCCAUCAGCCUCUCAGUCUUGCAAACAGAAUAGAUUUUCCAAAUAGAAAAGAAAAAAUAUGCUCAUAAACUAAACUCCAGUGGACCCAACAAGCUCUCUGAGUGGCUUUUGAACAUUGCCAGUCCAUUUUCCUUUCUUCAUCUUUUUUUAAAAACACUGGAGCCUAAAAGGUUCUAAACAAGAAGGGAUGUUGUGAGAGUGGAAUAAUACAAGGCACUAAAUAUUUUAUUAGUGAUUUAUGAAAACAUGCCUUUACUUUAUUUCUUUAAUAGGAAAAAAAACCCUGACAGUUAGUGAAAUGAUGAGGAUUAAUGUAUGAAAAUGUGUGUCAUGGCAGCCUCUGAGUAAUGGAUUCAUAAACAGUUCCCUUUUUUCUUUUUCUUUUAAGUCAAAGUGGAUUACAAGAAGAGUGGCAAAUUAUUGUAGUCAGAUCAAAUAAAACAGGCAGGCCACAGUUUUUCCUGGAACCCUGUUGACCUCAGAUGCAAGUCAUGAAAUCUUCCACUACAUCAAGUACAAUCUCCAAUAGGAACCUUUCCCUGCUGUUGUCCUACAGGUUCACUUUGUGCCAUGGUUUAUAGCAAAAGAACAGAUUGGGUGAAUAUUUGAACAGUUUAAUUUACUGCAAACAUUGCUUGCUUUAAGCUAUGUUUCAUUCAAAAAAUGAUCUUUUGUUCUCUAUUUAGGCUUUUUAUUUUUUUUCAAUUGCCAAUGAGUCUAUUGCUUUCUUUUCCUACAGGUGAUAAUAAAAGUUUAAAUAUUAACAGAUACCAAAUCUCAUGCUAUACAUGAAUAAUCUGAGCUAAAUAAUAAGAGUGUUUUGAAAACUAAAUAAGUAAAUAGGUGAGCCUUAUACAAAGAGUAAGCAGCCUUUUUGAGACUUUCACUUCCAAGUUGACUGGUUGCCAUUGUGCAUUAAGGAUCUGGUCCAAAUCUCAUUGAAGUCAAUAGAAAGGCUCCGACUGACUUCAAUGGGCUUUGGGUUAAACCCUAAUUCAGGCUAUUGAUUAAAUGAUUUCUUUACUUCUGUGGAUCCCAGCCUUGCUCAUGGGCUGGGGUGAGGAGGGGAAGGGACUCUAGGAGGCAAAAGGAAAGCUGACCACACAAACACAACAUGUUAGUCAUGCUGUACAAGGGGCUGUUCAGCCUCCACAAAAGAUCAAGCUUAUUCCUAUGGAAACCAGUGUUUGGAGAUGAAUAAGCGCUCUGGCUCUCAACAGUUCCUCUUCCUUUUUCUCUUUUCAACUCUCUUGGGUUGUUUUGUUGUUAUGGGGUUUUUUUUGGUAGGUUUUUAUUUUUAAGAAAGAAGAAAGAGACUCUUUACUUCCAAGCAGCUUGUAAAAAGACUGAUGACAUUCACUCCACUAAUAAGCUGGCAAUUAACAAAAAGUCCCAGAUUUCUCAGAGACUUAUUUUUCAACAGGAGCUAGUCAAGAUGUUGAUGAGGUUUUGUUUUUUGUUUUUAAAUAGGAUGUUCUGUCUCUUAGCAGGAAAGGGGCUGCUAAACUGGUGUUGUAAGUCUAUACAAGGAAAAAUCUCAUAAGCCUUAGGAAGAGGGGAAAAAAGAUCAGUGGAUUCAGUGGGCUCACACCAGCCUUUCCCUGGUGUAACCAAAAUAAGGAUCUAAUCCAUAUUUGUACUGAAUUUUAGGUACAGACAGACCUGCCAAUGGGGGAGGGGCAAAGCGGACUAUUGGGGUGCAGCACUUUAAAGGGGCCCAGAGCUCCUACGACUGUGACAGUGGUGGCUGGAGCUUUGGGUCUUUUAAAUUGCCACUGGCGUUCUUUGAGCUCCAGGCAGAUCUGAGGAUUGUGGGGGGGCACUGUGCUGUGGGUGGCCCUGAAGGCUAGCUGCCUCAGCCCGCCCCUUCCGUCUUAGGCCCUGCCCCUUCCAGGAGCAUGGAGCUGCUGGCCACGCCCACUUGCCCAGAAGCCUGCAGAGGCUGUCAGCUCUCCUGGGUACAGAUGCGUACAUUAAUAAUGGAAUGCCUACACAUAGGUUACACAAGGACCAUUUGAUCCAUUUGAUAAAGCAGUUAAAGGGCAUUAUUGUUACAGCCCAAAGUACAUGGUGAAUACAAAUAAUAGUAUUAAAAACCUCUCAUUGAUAGUGUCAGUGUUAUAAUGUGCAGUAUAGACUCAACUAUAAAAGAGACAAGGAGAAGAAGGAUGAAAUGAAAGAAGAGUGGAAAAUAACAUAUUGUAAGAAAAAAGAGAAAUCACAACUGCAGCAGUUUGGAAGAAAUCGCUUGCAUUUUAUUUCUCAUGACAAAUAUUCAAAAUGUGAGGCUCUUUUUCAGAUCUGAUAUGUGUAGGAAGGAUCAAAUGGAGAAUUUCCUCCAGCAAGUAAUCGGGUUUAAAGUGAGCAAAAAAGUAAUUGUAACAAAUUUGAAUUCUUGGGCUAGAGUUGGAGGUGUUCAGUGUGUGGUAGGGGGGUUAAUGAAAAUACCUGUGUGGCACUACAGGUUGCUUAUACCAGAGUACAACCUGAUCCAUACUUCCAACUCUCCAUUCUGGUUUCUUCUAGGUGCUGUAAGCAGAUGCAUGACCCCACAGCUGGAGUGUGUUUGACUGUGUAUAGCAAUGAAUUGAGCAUAAGAGUGUCCAUGUCUCUUUGAUUGUUGACAGGGCUGCCAGCAUAGUCAGUUUAGAUGGGUUUUUUUGUGAUAUGAACGCUCAUCUACUAGGAAAUUGACUGAAACCACCAAUCCAUUUAACACGCCUAAUUAAAUAGCUUUCUGGAGGUUUCUGACUGCUGCCAAUCUGACCUGCACUGGAACCAGGAGUUUUAGGAACAGGUUUCAUAUCCUACUAUGAGUCCCCUGAGUUACUGCUUUCCUUGUUUAAAAUUUGUAAAUGACCUUUUGAAAAAUGUUUCCAAACACUGCCUUUACUUUGUUUGGCCUGUUUACAAGACUUAAUUCUUUUCAUCUGAACUUUGAGACAUCCUGUGCACAUGCAACAUCCACUGUAGUAAAUGGAAGCUAUAGGUACCCACUAUGUCUUGGGAUUUCCUUUUUUAUCUGUGGUGAGGAGCUCAUGCUAUUUCCCUUCUGUCCUUCCAAAACUGUAGUUAACAAAUUGUAUUUAUCUUUGCAGAAAACUGAAAUGCUCAGCCCUGUUUACCUCCCUCUUCCUGAAAAACAAAAACAAAAAAAUAACAAAAACAAAACAAAAAAACCCAUUCACAGCAGACUCUUCCUUCUUCCAUAUAUAUAGGCCAGUAAUAUUCCCCUUACUGAGAUCUGCUCGACUCCCAAGGUGUCUUUUAGGAAGUGCAAUUUGCCUUAUCUACUGAAAGAGGCAUAGGGCCAAAGCUCCUUGUAUUGAAUUUUUUACUGUGUGAAUACUGAGUGGAGGAAUGCCACUGCAAUGGCUUUCUAGGGCAAGUUUAUCUUUAGUAUUUUUGUUUUAUCCUGAGGCACUGACCUUUCUAUUAUCAGUUCUUCUGAAAGGAAGCAGUACAACAAUGUCUUGUCUGUAUCAGCUUGUUUAUGUUUUAUAUGUGGCUCAAAGUUCUGCCAGAACUUCAUGUAAUUUUAUUGGCUACUUCUGCAUUCUGCCUGUGAUAUGCUAAUUACUGGGAUGUGACAGAACACUUAUUCCUUAUCAUAAAUCACAGUCUGUUAUCCAAGAAUUAAACUUGUUUUGAGUCAUCAGAGGAUGUAACGGUAUGAAAUAAUCUCUGAGGGCCAGAUCCAGAUACUACUGAAGUCAAUGGGCGUUUUACUAUUACCUUUAUGUUGGGAUCAACAUUGAACCCAAUGUAAUGAAAAGAAUGCGUGUCUGUUUCAGAAAUUAUUAUUUUUAAAGAAAUAUUCUCUUGCAAUACUGUGAGAACUAGAAAGUGAAACUGCAAUGGCAAUUUACAUCAGAUGAGCAUGUACUUUUAAAGCAAGGAUUUUAAAGAAUUGGAAAGCCAACAUCUUCAAUUGGUGUAAAUCAGUGUGACUGUGCAGACUUCAAUGAAGGCAUGAAGAUUUACAUUAACUGAGACUGUGGCCCAGAGUUUUAUAUUUACAUUGUCUCAUUGUGGAAAUCCUGACGUCACUGUUAAUCUGCUCACAGAAGAGGAGGCGUGAGAGGAAGGAAAAGGAAAGGAAACAUACAGGAGAAGAUGGAGAUGUCCUUUUUCACCCUACUAAGAUGCUAGCAGCACAUAGCUAGCUCAUGUGACUUAAUUUACCAGGAAUAUAUUUCAUCUGCAAGAUAAUGCAGUUUUACUGAGCUUAACCACUACAAACCUUUGCUAGACUACCAGAAUACCAGCUUCAAAGUGGAUUCAACCUAAAGCAAAAUAAACCUGAAUGCAGCCUUUGUCCCAGCCAACAAUUCUUAAACACAACUUUUGAGAUGAUUGACUAUUGCAUUUACUUGUACUUAUGAGCAUAACUUUCAGUCACUAUCCAGCAGGGAAUCACCUUUCCUCUCCAGCCCCUGGCAGCCUGUUUCCAUCAGUCAGUUAUGUGAACAAACACUUCUAGUCCCUGUGCUGACUCAGAGUGGCACCUGCUGGAAAUACUGGGGAAGACACAAUCCACUGUGGGGUUCUUAAAAACCCACCCAAACCACUCAUAGCUCCAUUGGUAUCUUUGAGUCCAUGUCGUGUGCAGAAGGCUCCAAAGACAAGAUUUUUUUUUUAAAGUCCACCUCCAUGAAAUGAAUGGUUAUCUUCUUUCAGCUGUCACGAUGGACUUCAGAUAAUUUCAAACUACUUUCUUCUGCUGCAUUUCCCUUUACUUUGGCAUCAGCAUAGCAGGGCAGGAGUUGAGUCUCAUACGCCAGUGAUCCUUGUGCAUAUUUUCUCAUCUAUGUAUGUUGUACUAAUAGCUGAAAAUGUGGUGAAUGAAAUCGUGUGUUGGAAUGAAAAAAGCCAUUUAAAUCUAGGAUUUGUGGAUUUUUCUGCUUUGUUUGUUUAGUCCUGGAUUCUUCAAACAUUUACAUACUUUCAGUUUUCCAGCUGACUUUAAUAAGAUUGCUGGUGAAUGAAAGGACAUGCACAAAUGUGUGCAGGAUUGGGGCCUUACUGUGUCACUGAUUAAAUGAUUUGUCUUUGGUUAGUUGUUGUUUUUUUUUGGCGAGGGGGGAGGGGAGAAGUGAGAAGAGGUUGUAAUGGUCUGCUUGUUAACAAAGUUUAUGGGAUACACUACAUUGUUUCUGUUCAAUGUUGUUUACUAUGUCUUAGUCUGAAUAUUCUCCAUUGGUGGUUUGAUUUGUAUUAACGUAUUGGUGUCUGCUGUUGUCUGGUUGCUGAGGCACUGAAGUCUAGAACUAUGAGCAUGGUGCUAGAAGUCAGAUGUUUCUUUAAUUUUAACUCUGGCAAUGACAUAGCAGUACAGUGUGGUCUUCAGCCAGUCAUUUCCCCUUAGCCUUAGUUUCCCAUUCUAUAACACAGCAAUACAAAUACUGACCUGUUGUUACAAGUAUUAUUAAGUAUUAUCACAACUACCGUAUCUCACUAUUAUCCCUAAAAAUCAAGUCUACAUCUGUUGCAGGGAUGGAUGAACUAGUCUGGAUAAAGUGCGAGCCAGCCCAUGCUCAAAUCCAACUUUGUUUCAAGUUCUCUUUUAUUUUUAAUUUUCUUCUUCAUGUGCAUAUCCUAGUUUUGGGUGGCCUCUGAGGUGAAAGUGCUGACAUAUGUGAAAAAGGCUUAUCUUGUGGUAGUUCCCAGCUCGAUUAGGAAGUGCUGGUGUUGGAAAUCUUGUGAGAAAGCCUGCCCUUCUGAGUUUUCCAGUGUAAUGCUGGCAGAUGAACUGGUACAGGUAGUCUGGAAAAGCUCAAGAUAAGCAUGAGACUUUUGGGUACUUAUGUAACACCAAGAGGUAGAACCAAACCUGGGACCUCAGUGCAUAAGCCUCUACUGCUUGAGCUAACACCAUCUGGCUCUCAGCUGUGGAGGAAACACAUUCUUUUUCUCUAAGUGGUCUAGGUGUUACUGAAUAGGACAGUGAACUAAACCCAGUAGAGGUCUGGGUCACACUUAUCCACCACAAAACUCCUGUUGGCUUAACAGGACCCCUGUUCUAAGCAACUUUUUGAAAGAUGGAACGCAAUGAGAAUUAAUGGGAGUAGCAUCAUCUUUCUGAAGGUGCUUUCCUCCCGCUGGAUUUGGCCCUCAGACAGUUCUGAAUACCCAGCAGUGCUGUGCAAUUUUUAAACUCAGUCUAAAAUAGACUGUCUGAAUCUCUCCUCACUUUUACCAGUUUUACUCUAACAUAAUGGCAUACCUGUAACUGUUGUUACUUCUGAUUUAGCGCAGUGGUCAAAGGGUACCAGGCUUUCUGUUAUAAGGGCAUAGGAAUGGGCACCAUUGUUGCUUACUGUGCUGGCGACCCCCAUCUGAAUUCAGUCAAAUGUUGGAGUGGAUUUUGAACUUGCUUUACAACACAGUUGGCCACAAGUUUUGUGAUGCAACAAAUUUCCACUGGAAAAUGCUGAUUUGGCUAAGUCAAAACAUUUUCUAAGACCAUGUCAGUUCAUCAAAACGGAUGGAAGAAUUUAUCAAAAUGUGUCACUUUGACCUUAUCAUUUUGAGUUGCAAUUUCUACUACAGCAGUAGGCAAAAAGUGGCCCACAGGCUGGGCUGCUGCUGCUUUAUUUACCUGUGCAUCUACAGGUAGAAUGGCUUGAAGCUCCCAUUGGCCGUGGAUUGCCAUUCCUGGCCAAUGGGAGCUGCAGGAAGCAGUGCCCCAGUCUAAUUCACUUCCCUCAGCUCCCAUUGGCCGAGAACUGUGAUCCACAGCCAAUGGGAGCUUCAAGUCAUUCUACCUGUGGAUGCACAGGUAAAUAAAGUGGUGGCAGCCCACCAGGGGCUAAUCCUGACACACUGCCUCUGUCUUAUUGCCCAACUCUGUCCUAUUACAAUAUUUACAAUCUAAAUGGUUUGAGAUAUUGCAAUAGAACAUACAAGUUGAAAUGAUAACAUGAAAAGCUUGGCUGUUUCUUGAGGGGAGUGUUCGGUGUUCCUUUUGUUGUGAUGGUGGUGACUGUGGUGGUGGUAGGAAACCUAAAUAGGAAUUUCAAUUCCAGGUUCACCCUUUAAGAUUGAUCCUAGGAGUAGCUUCCUUCUUCCCCCUCUUCCCCUUGUAGCGCCUUUGCCCUUGAGAUCCUGUAGGACAGCCCCCUCCUGACAAGGACUUGAUAAAGAAAAUUGCUGUGGAACAUCAUCAGUCACUCUCUCCCCCUCCCUUGGGCUUUAAAGUUGCUAUUUACAAUUAAAGCACUCAUUUUAGAUAAGAUACUCAGGGCUAUACCAAGGUCAAGAUUUGUUGACUGUUUAAAAUAUAUAUUUCAUAGAGGGCAGUCAGAUCUUGUAUUGUGUUGAGAGAUAAAUGCAGACAGACCAGGUACAGAAAUAGUCAGGGGUCUGAUGCUUUGGAGACUAUUUUACAGUUGCCCUGAUGACAUUGUUUAAAUCAAGCUGUAGUGUUUGAUUAUGUUGGAGUUCUGUGUGAUGCAAUGUAAUACGGAACAAGUGAUGUAACAAGAUAUGCCCUUCAACACCUUAUGUGUUUCAUUUUUAGUCAGAAUAUAUUAAUUCACUUGCUGAAUAAUUGACCCAAAGAAAUUCUGUCAAACAGUAUUAAAUUAUUCACUGGAUUUCCAAACCAGCAGGUACUGGCCUUAAAUAUUUAAGAAUCAUGUCAAGUAAUUUUCUGCACAAAAAAUUUUCCAUGGUGUUUGUUUAGGCUCUCUGGAAUUCAUUUGCAAAUAAGAGGGAUGGGAUAAUUAAACAAAAGCCAAUUGGUCCUUCAGAGGUGCAAACACAUCUCCAAACCACCUCACCCCCAAGUGUCCUCCACAUAUGCCAAGACAGACACGAUAAACUUCAGUUCAACUGCUCAUCCCAGACCAAUUUCAUUUUCUAUCAUUUUUUGCAUUGCUUAGCCCCUAUGUUUUCAAAUGAGAGCCACACCACCCAGUUUUGAAUAACAUUCAGUAUCAGCAAUAAGUACCUCGAGAGAGAAUGCAGCAUCUCAUAAUGACCAACAAUGAAGGUUGUUAGUCACCUUGCUAACCUGUGCCCUCAGGCCUUAUAGUACCUUCCUAGCUAGGUGUGUAUUAUGAGAUAACAACCUUGCUGGAUCAAUUUUGGUAUAGAAAACAGGUUUCCUUAAAAGCGGGAUAUCCCUGUAGCAGCAUUCAAGUUCAACCAAUUACAGUGUCUGACACCUUUCCCCUUGAAAAUUGCAUGCUGAAUGGGUACAGGUUAUAUUUCUGGCUUGUUUCAAUAAGAUGAGGAUAGGCGUCUGAUAGCUUAUAUUAAUUACUCCAUUUUCUUUUCCCUGUAUAUAUUUCUAGAAUCUAAUUGUGGUACACCUGGCCUCCAGCUGUCUGCCAGGACACAGAGAUAACUUUCCACCUGUGGCUUUAUAGUAAUCUCCUUUUAUUGUUGCACACAUUGCAAAAUAUAGUCCAACAGUCUCUUGAUGUUAGCAUUUUGAUGCAGUCAUCACCAGUUUAGCAUUUGCAGUGAGCAAUAGUUACUUUACAAGCUCUACUAGAAGCUACUGCUCCAGUUGUUCCUAUUAGUCCACUCAAUUUUCCACCUGAAAUACCACAUUUGUCUAGUCAGGGCCUGACAUCUAUUGUCAGAGGGGUUUGCCUUUAAUAACAAGUUUGAUUUAAUUGUAUCUUCUUCUCCCAAAGAAUAUGCUAGGCAACCUGUUCUAUAUUGUCAGUCAACCAAGAUGCACUUUUGUGUUUUAUUAUCUUGGCCCUGAUAAGGAGGCGUGUGUGUGUGUGUGUGUGUGUGUGUGUGUGCGCGCGCGCGCGCGCGCAUCAUAGGGUGUUGAAGUGUAAUUGUUUGUUCUUCUGUGGUGGCUUUAGAGUUGAACUCAUUGCAGGAAUAGUGUACAGGGGUGUGGGUAAGCAUGCCAUUAGUGAAGAGUGAAUUGCAUUUCUUACUAAGAUUGAUAUUCAAAGCCACCAGUGUUGUUACUUUUUAGGAUUCUUUUUUAAAACAACCAGCCUUAAGAUAUUAAAUGUUCUUUAUUUGUAACAAUAAAUGAAGAAUUCUCCAUUGUCUCCCCUAUCUUAAAAGCAUUUAGAAUUGGCUUUAGACAACAUCAAAACCGAAUAUGACUCUGGUGAGCCAGAAUUCAAUUAGGGAAGGGGGAACUCAAACAAUGUCUACUCUAGGAAAAAGAGAAAAAAAUCCACUUAUUAUGUAAAAUCCACUUAAUAUGUAAAGUCUAACAACAAUUAACAUAAAUGUUGCAACCUACAUUGAAGACAAAAACACAGGAGUUGUCUAUGCCUGUAUGGCUCAGUAGUGAGCUGCAGUGUGAUCACAGGUAUUUGCAAACUUUACAGAAUGACGCAUCCUGACUGAUUUGAUCAGUCUGUCUUUUACUUCUCUAGAGGACACAUACUGUAGUAUCAAACUACUGAACCAGUAAAUUAGUUGCACAGAAUGAGGUCCAUAGUGGAGUUUGUGGUAUCUUUUGGGUUCUUUUAUAGGGAGCACUGUUUGGGAGUCAUGCACAAGCAUGGCAUACAGUCCAUAUUAUAAGCGGAGCCAGAAGCAAUGGCUAUGAUUAAGAUUAGCCAACACUUUCCUUUAUGAGCCCCUGUUUUCAGUUGAUUAUAAGUUUGACCAAAUUGUAGCCAUUCCAUGCCAGGUGUCUGCUUUGGGCUGAAUUUUUUUUUUAGACAACUUCAUCAAAAGUGGUUCAGCUGUUUCCAAGAUUGAGGUCAGGGGAAAAUAAUGUUUUUUCCCCUCUCACAUUAAAAAAUUAAAACCAUUAAUUUCAGAAGCA